rnacentral:rRNA from 1 species
AGUGAACGCUGGCGGUAGGCCUAACACAUGCAAGUCGAACGGCAGCACAGUAAGAGCUUGCUCUUACGGGUGGCGAGUGGCGGACGGGUGAGGAAUACAUCGGAAUCUACUUUUUCGUGGGGGAUAACGUAGGGAAACUUACGCUAAUACCGCAUACGACCUACGGGUGAAAGCAGGGGAUCUUCGGACCUUGCGCGAUUGAAUGAGCCGAUGUCGGAUUAGCUAGUUGGCGGGGUAAAGGCCCACCAAGGCGACGAUCCGUAGCUGGUCUGAGAGGAUGAUCAGCCACACUGGAACUGAGACACGGUCCAGACUCCUACGGGAGGCAGCAGUGGGGAAUAUUGGACAAUGGGCGCAAGCCUGAUCCAGCCAUACCGCGUGGGUGAAGAAGGCCUUCGGGUUGUAAAGCCCUUUUGUUGGGAAAGAAGAGCAGCAAGUUAAUACCCCGCUGUUCUGACGGUACCCAAAGAAUAAGCACCGGCUAACUUCGUG